ACUGCAAGCAGCUGACGAGAAACUGCUUCUUUCAAUUAAGGAAAAUCUCAAAACUUAGAAAUAUAGUUUCAAGAAAUGAUUUGGAGCUAAUCAUUCACGCCUUUGUGUCGUCGCGGUUAGACUAUUGUAAUAGUUUAUUUUUAUGCCUAAACCAGAAGGAGCUUUCUCGACUGCAAUUAGUACAAAACUCUGCAGCCAGAAUUUUAACACGUACUAAUAGGAGGUCUCACAUAUCACCAAUCCUAAAAGAACUUCAUUGGCUACCAGUGUCUUAUAGGAUAAAUUUUAAAAUUUUGGUUUUAGUUUUCAGAGCUUUACAUGGCCAGGCUCCACCCUAUAUUAGUGACCUGAUUCAGCGUUAUACCCCUGUGCGUGCUCUGAGGUCUGUGGAUCAGAACCUGCUGACGGUUCCACGCACUCGCUACCGUACUAGAGGUGACCGAUCUUUUCAGGCUGUUGCCCCUAGGUUGUGGAAUGACCUUCCACCAUCUAUGCGCUCUUCUGAUUCUGUUGAUGCCUUCAAAUGCAGACUAAAGACACAUUUAUUUGUUCAGGCUUUCAUUUAGCUACUUGUGGGUUGAUAUGAUCAUGUACUGUCUAUGCUUUUAUUGUGUGUAUUUUAUGAUAUUAAUGUUUUUGUUGUGAAGCACUUUGUGGCCCUAUACCUGUGAAAGGUGCUAUAGAAAUAAACUUUUACUUACUUACUUA